rnacentral:tRNA from 1 species
GCCAGGGUAGCUCAACGGCGGAGCAGGUCUUUCAUAAGGACAAGGUUGUGGGUCCGACUCCCACCCCUGGCA